UUUUGACUUGACACUACACGAAUCAUCAAGCAAUGGGUCAGCAUCUAUUGAAGCCAUGAGGAGCAAAAUCAUUGACAUCAUUGAAGCUUUGGACAAUAUCUUGCAAAUUGUGCCAUUAAAGUUGAUGCCGAAAGGAAGGAUGCUCGGAGAUGCCAGCGACCA